AUUGAACGCUGGCGGCAUGCUUUACACAUGCAAGUCGAACGGUAACAGGCCGCAAGGUGCUGACGAGUGGCGAACGGGCGAGUAAUGCAUCGGAACGUGCCCAGUCGUGGGGGAUAACUACUCGAAAGAGUAGCUAAUACCGCAUACGAUCUAUGGAUGACAGCGGGGGACCGUAAGGCCUCGCGCGAUUGGAGCGGCCGAUGUGCGAUGAGGUAGUUGGUGGGGUAAAGGCUCACGCAGCCAACGAUCUGUAGCUGUACGGAGAGGACGACGAGCCACACUAGAAGUGAGACACGGCCCAGACUCCUACGGGAGGCACCAGUGGGGAAUGGUGGGCAAUGGGCGCAAGCCUGAUCCAGCAAGGCCGCGUGCAGGAAGAAGGCCUUCGGGUUGUAAACUGCGUUUGUACGGAACGAAACGGCUCUGGUUAAGACCCAGGGCUAAUGACGGUACCGUAAGAAGAGGCACCGGCUAACUACGUG
rnacentral:rRNA from 1 species